rnacentral:rRNA from 1 species
GACGAACGCUGGCGGCGUGCCUAACACAUGCAAGUCGAACGAAGCAGCUGUGAUUGAGACUUCGGUUGAUUGACCAGUUGACUUAGUGGCGGACGGGUGAGUAACGCGUGAGCAACCUGCCUUUCAGAGGGGGACAACAGUUGGAACGACUGCUAAUACCGCAUGAUGUGUCGAGAUCGCAUGAUCCUGACACCAAAGAUUUAUCGCUGAAAGAUGGGCUCGCGUACGAUUAGAUAGUUGGUGAGGUAACGGCUCACCAAGUCGACGAUCGUUAGCCGGACUGAGAGGUUGAACGGCCACAUUGGGACUGAGACACGGCCCAGACUCCUACGGGAGGCAGCAGUGGGGGAUAUUGCACAAUGGGGGAAACCCUGAUGCAGCGACGCCGCGUGAGGGAAGAAGGUCUUCGGAUUGUAAACCUUUGUCUUCAGGGACGAUAAUGACGGUACCUGAGGAGGAAGCCACGGCUAACUACGUGCCAGC